rnacentral:rRNA from 1 species
GUGGGGAAUAUUGGACAAUGGGCGAAAGCCUGAUCCAGCCAUGCCGCGUGUGUGAAGAAGGUCUUCGGAUUGUAAAGUACUUUAAGUUGGGAGGAAGGGCAGUAAGUUAAUACCUUGCUGUUUUGACGUUACCGACAGAAUAAGCACCGGCUAACUUCGUGCCAGCAGCCGCGGUAAUACGAAGGGUGCAAGCGUUAAUCGGAAUUACUGGGCGUAAAGCGCGCGUAGGUGGUUUUGUAAGUUGGAGGUGAAAUCCCCGGGCUCAACCUGGUAACUACCUCCAAAACUGCAUGACUAGAGUACGGUAGAGGGUAGUGGAAUUUCCUGUGUAGCGGUGAAAUGCGUAGAUAUAGGAAGGAACACCAGUGGCGAAGGCGACUACCUGGACUGAUACUGACACUGAGGUGCGAAAGCGUGGGGAGCAAACAGGAUUAGAAACCCCAGUAGUCC